rnacentral:rRNA from 1 species
AUUGAACGCUGGCGGCAUGCCUUACACAUGCAAGUCGAACGGUAACAGGUCUUCGGAUGCUGACGAGUGGCGAACGGGUGAGUAAUACAUCGGAACGUGCCCGAUCGUGGGGGAUAACGAGGCGAAAGCUUUGCUAAUACCGCAUACGAUCUACGGAUGAAAGCGGGGGAUCUUCGGACCUCGCGCGGACGGAGCGGCCGAUGGCAGAUUAGGUAGUUGGUGGGAUAAAAGUUUACCAAGCCGACGAUCUGUAGCUGGUCUGAGAGGAUGAUCAGCCACACUGGGACUGAGACACGGCCCAGACUCCUACGGGAGGCAGCAGUGGGGAAUUUUGGACAAUGGGCGAAAGCCUGAUCCAGCCAUGCCGCGUGCAGGAUGAAGGCCUUCGGGUUGUAAACUGCUUUUGUACGGAACGAAAAGCCUCUUUCUAAUAAAGAGGGGUCAUGACGGUACCGUAAGAAUAAGCACCGGCUAACUACGUG